AUUGAACGCUGGCGGCAGGCCUAACACAUGCAAGUCGAGCGGUAGCACAGGGAGCUUGCUCCUGGGUGACGAGCGGCGGACGGGUGAGUAAUGUCUGGGAAACUGCCUGAUGGAGGGGGAUAACUACUGGAAACGGUAGCUAAUACCGCAUAACGUCGCAAGACCAAAGAGGGGGACCUUCGGGCCUCUUGCCAUCAGAUGUGCCCAGAUGGGAUUAGCUAGUAGGUGGGGUAACGGCUCACCUAGGCGACGAUCCCUAGCUGGUCUGAGAGGAUGACCAGCCACACUGGAACUGGGACACGGUCCAGACUCCUACGGGAGGCAGCAGUGGGGAAUAUUGCACAAUGGGCGCAAGCCUGAUGCAGCCAUGCCGCGUGUAUGAAGAAGGCCUUCGGGUUGUAAAGUACUUUCAGCGGGGAGGAAGGUGUUGAGGUUAAUAACCUCAGCAAUUGACGUUACCCGCAGAAGAAGCACCGGCUAACUCCGUGCCAGCCGCCGCAGUAA
rnacentral:rRNA from 1 species